UACAGAGGUCCCGAGCGUUGUUCGGAUUCAUUGGGCGUAAAGGGUGCGUAGGUGGCGGGGCAAGUUGGAUGUGAAAUCCCGGAGCUUAACUCCGGAACUGCAUUCAAUACUGCCUUGCUGGAGUACUGGAGAGGAGAUUGGAAUUUACGGUGUAGCAGUGAAAUGCGUAGAUAUCGUAAGGAAGACCAGUGGCGAAGGCGGAUCUCUGGACAGUUACUGACACUGAGGCACGAAGGCCAGGGGAGCAAACGGG
rnacentral:rRNA from 1 species